rnacentral:rRNA from 1 species
CCCUAUGGGGUGCAGCAGGCGCGAAAACUUUACAAUGCGGGAAACCGUGAUAAGGGGACACCGAGUGUCAGCAUCAUAUGCUGGCUGUCCAGGUGUGUAAAAUACACCUGUUAGCAAGGGCCGGGCAAGACCGGUGCCAGCCGCCGCGGUAACACCGGCGGCCCGAGUGGUGAUCGUGAUUAUUGGGUCUAAAGGGUCCGUAGCCGGUUUGGUCAGUCCUCCGGGAAAUCUGAUAGCUCAACUAUUAGGCUAUCGGGGGAUACUGCCAGACUUGGAACCGGGAGAGGUAAGAGGUACUACAGGGGUAGGAGUGAAAUCUUGUAAUCCCUGUGGGACCACCUGUGGCGAAGGCGUCUUACCAGAACGGGUUCGACGGUGAGGGACGAAAGCUGGGGGCACGAACCGGAUUAGAUACCCGGGUAGUCCCAGCCGUAAACGAUGCUCGCUAGGUGUCAGGCAUGGCGCGACCGUGUCUGGUGCCGCAGGGAAGCCGUGAAGCGAGCCACCUGGGAAGUACGGCCGCAAGGCUGAAACUUAAAGGAAUUGGCGGGGGAGCACAACAACGGGUGGAGCCUGCGGUUUAAUUGGACUCAACGCCGGACAACUCACCGGGGGCGACAGCAAUAUGUAGGCCAAGCUGAAGACUUUGCCUGAAUCGCUGAGAGGAGGUGCAUGGCC